AAGGCGUAAUGAUUUGGGCGCUGUCUCAACAAUAGACUCGGUGAAAUUUAAAUUCCAGUGAAGAUGCUGGGUACCCGCGACAGGACGGAAAGACCCCGUGGAGCUUUACUGUAGCUUGAUAUUGAAUGUUUGUGCUGCAUGUGCAGGAUAGGUAGGAGACUUUGAAGUCGGAACGCUAGUUUCGAUUGAGUCACCCUUGAGAUACUACCUCUGUUGUAUGAACGUUCUAACUCUGAUCAGUUAUCCUGAUCGAAGACAGUGUCUGGCAGGCAGUUUGACUGGGGCGGUCGCCUCCUAAAAGAUAACGGAGGCGCUCAAAGGUUUGCUCAGAAUGGUUGGAAAUCAUUCGUAGCGUGUAAAGGCAUAAGCAAGCUUGACUGUGAGACUGACAAGUCGAGCAGGUACGAAAGUAGGACUUAGUGAUCCGGUGGUUCCGUAUGGAAGGGCCAUCGCUCAACGGACAAAAGCUACCCCGGGGAUAACAGGCUCAUCUCCCCCAAGAGUCCACAUCGACGGGGAGGUUUGGCACCUCGAUGUCGGCUCAUCGCAUCCUGGGGCUGUAGUCGGUCCCAAGGGUUGGGCUGUUCGCCCAUUAAAGCGGUACGCGAGCUGGGUUCAGAACGUCGUGAGACAGUUCGGUCCCUAUCCGUCGUGGGCGCAGGAAAUUUGAGAGGAUCUGUCCUUAGUACGAGAGGACCGGGAUGGACAUACCUCUGGUGUACCAGUUGUUCUGCCAAGAGCACCGCUGGGUAGCUACGUAUGGAUUAGAUAAUCGCUGAAAGCAUCUAAGUGAGAAACUAACCUCGAGAUGAGAUUUCCCAUUCGUCAGAAGUAAGACCCCUGAGAGACGAUCAGGUAGAUAGGCUAGAAGUGGAAGUGUAGUGAUGCAUGGAGCGGACUAGUACUAAUAGGUCGAGGACUUAACCAAG
rnacentral:rRNA from 1 species